UAUCGCUGCUUUAAAACCUCAUCAGCAGCCCCCUCCCCCCCUCGCUUUUAACUAUCUCUGGUGGGAAAAGAAAGCAAAAGAAGGGGAGGAGAGAGAUUUUCGAUCAAAUUCUCAGAUCUCUCUCUGUACGAGUUCAAGACCUUUAAUCGCUUUAUCAAAUAACCAAAAUGGGCCAGAAAUCGUUGAUCUACUCAUUCGUGUCCUGUGGAAACGUGAUUCUUGCUGAGUACACAGAAUUCGGUGGCAAUUUCAAUUCCAUAGCGUUUCAGUGCCUCCAGUAGCUCCCUGCGACCAACAAUAAGUUCACUUACAACUGCGAUGCCCACUCCUUCAAUUACCUCGUUGACAAUGGCUACAUUUAUCUCUCGUUCUCUGGUCAUCUCUCGUUCUUGGUCCAUUAACCAUGGGACGUGGUAGAAAGCGGCAGCUACCGGAGUUAACCCUCGAUAUAUCGACGGAACUGCCAGAAACAGACGGCAAUUCCCCGGAGUGUUGUGGAUCCAAGGCGGGACAUGGAGGCGGCGAUGUUUUGCCACAGGGAAAGGAGCAAUCUACGGAAAAUAAGAGCACUACAGUGUAAUGAAGAACACUACAGUGGACCUAUUGAACAGAGAGGUGAAAAAGUGGAAAAAGUUGAAGACGAAAGCCCAGCGAAUGGUCAGACAUGAAAGAGAAAGGUCAAGCUCGCCGCUCUUGUCUCAUACUCUCACUUAUAUCUUAUACUUAAGCUGGAAAUACAGAGAAUGCAUCUCUCAUUGCACGAGGCCUUCGAAAUGAUGGAGUUUCAACCGGUGUUGAUCUUGCAGUCGAUCUCGAUUCAUAACGAGAUUCAGAAAUUCCAGCUGCUCUACCAACAUCACCCCAGUGCUUCAAAGAAGAGCACAAGAAGUGUAGGUAUCAAAUGUGGAACAAGAGGACAUGCUGUGGAAUUCGGGACACGGGGAAACAAGGUAAAUUUUAGGAAGUGCUUGACUACUAUCAGAGGCUGCUUCCCUCAAUCCGACUUCUGUAAUCAUGCAUGCAACCAGAGUUAAUGGGUGUGUAGCAGUUACUGCUAACGAAGUGGAGGCAUUUGAUCAGCUCUAUAAGAAGUUGGGUUGUUCAUAAUCGAUGAUGGAUUGAUUCAUAAGGAAUGAAAGUUGAUUUUGAUAUGGAUUGGGUCAUACGGAGGAGGUUUGGACUUACCAUGGUCUCUCUUCACCAAAUCGCCAAGUAGGACUUUCAAUCAAACAGCAGAAAGGCUUCAACAACUCAUCUCUCUAGAAAAAGCUGGAAAUUAUUUGUUGCAAAAGGUUCUGCACCUUGGCAGCCUUGGAUACCUAAGAAGACACAGGAAAUAACAGGGCCUUUGAUCACAGGAGGUACAGACUCUCACUGCUUUUCAUGCUAUGCUUUCAUGCUUUUGUGGGCAUGAAUAUGAGGCAUGUGGAGUGUGAACAGAAUUGCUUGAGGAAUUAUUCUUGCUCUGGAUAUGCAAAUGUAGAAAUUGCUAGGAAAGAGUAGAUGUGUGGCAUGGGGGAAUUAAUGGACACAGCAGCGUAGUGCGACUGAUCAUCUAAGAGUAGCGUUUUCAUUGGUAGUAAAUCAAGACAAGAAGAUAGUGAGAGGAAAGUGAUUCUUUCGGCCAAGAAGAAAUUUGAGUUGUCCACCUUCAUACCAGAGAGUAGCGUUUUCAUUGGUAGUAAAUCAGGACAAGAAGAUAGUGAGAGGAAAGUGAUUCUUUCGGCCAAGAAGAAAGAUGUCAAGUGCUUCAAAGAAGAGGACAAGAAGUGUAGGUAUCAAAUGAGGAACAAGAGGACAUGCUGUGGAAUUCAGGACACGGGGAAACAGGGUAUACAAGGCUGUAACGACGUAAAAUUGGAAUUGAUGACUUUGAACAAUUAACUGUGAUUGGUAAAGGUGCAUUUGGUAAGGUAAAAGAAAACAUCACUAUCAUAUAGCAAUUUCCAAUAUUUUUUUGUAUGGUUCGUAGAUCAAUAGAAUUUCACUGUUGAACCCAUCUUGCUCUUAUGGUGAUAUUGUUUUCAAAGUUUCGUUCUUGAUUCAUUUAGAAACUUUGAUUGAUUGUUCUUUAUUGGAUUGGUGGAAAUUUUGUGGAUUUCCUUUCUAGGUAUCCUGAAUUUGGUUGGGUUUUCUGAUAUUUUGUAAGAGUUAAGGGUGCUUUUUGGUGUGGUUGAUUGUAGAUUUGAUGUGUUGUUUUAAAUUAGUUCACCAUAAGGGGUUUUGUUUGGUAAAAAUGAAGAAUCAAGGGAAGAAUUAUUUGAUAAGAGGAUGAGAUUUGUUGGAUUAAUCAUUGUAAUUACAGGACAUUUGUCAUUGGUGAAGAUGUGGUUUAGAUGCUUCUGACACAUGCUUAAUUUUCAGAUGAUUGUUAUUUGUUACUUCUUUCCCUUCUUAGUAUACAUUAAUGCUUAAAAUUUUGAGUUAUGUCCAUGAUAAAUGCUAUUUUUUCUUAGAAUAAUUUUGGAGAGCUAUUUAUGUUGGUCCAAAAUCUUUUCAUUAUCCAAUUGUUAAAAUUCAGUCUCUUUUUUAUUAAAUUAAUAGCCCUAAUUGAUAAGAGAGUUGGCUACUUCGGAGUGGGUAUCUCCUGUCAUCUUACAUUGGCCCUCCCAAACAAGAAGGAAUAUGAAACAAAAUUGGGAUAAAAUCUGGUUAUGAGGACAUAUAAAUAGAGGACAAAAGCAAGGCUUCAUGAGAGGCAAAGGCCAAAGCCAUAGAGGCCAUCUCUGAAAGUAUUAGAAUGAAUGCGUGGGCAGAUGAUUAUGUAUAAUGUUAAUGUUAUGUGGGUUAAUUUUAUGCCUUAUGAGGAUAUGAUUGCAAAAUCUGGUAUUUAUUUGCACUCCAGGUAAAUUUUAGGAAGUGCUUGACUACUAUCAGAGGCUGCUUCCCUCAAAUCCGACUUCUGCAAUCAUGCAUGCAACCAGAGGUGUGUCAGAGAUGCGUAUGAUUUCAACGUGAAAUAAAUGUGUGCCGGUCUGACUUCUAAACAGAACGAUUGGUGGAAACUUUCUCUUGGAUUUCAUAACUCCACUAAGAUACGCUUCAUUAGUAUCUUUACUUGUUCAGCUUUUGUGAAAUUGGAAAAGGACUUGAUCGCUUGAGAAAACUUAAAGGAAGGCUUGUGCAUUGAAAAGUAAAAUUGAUUAUUGCAAAAAAUGUAUAUAUUGCAUUGAAAAAGUAAAUUGAGCACUUGAUUGCAAAGUAAAA